rnacentral:lncRNA from 1 species
AGGAGAGAUAACAGAUCGGAUUUUCUCCAGGAUCACGACCCGGAGCUGAUCAAAGGAGGGGAGCGGGAGGAAGUGGAGGAAGAGAUCAGAGUGCAGGUCGAUGAAGUGAUGCAGGAGAAACUGUUGAACAUCAAAAAGGCUCUGGAUGGAGAGACAGGUCCUCAGAGUAAAGCUAAGAAAGGUGAAAAGGGAAGCAAGACACCUGGGAAGAAAAAGAUAUCUGAGCUGGAGAGAGAUCUGACUCCUGACAGGUAAAGAGAACCCCUCUGCACUAGCUCUCCAGUAUCAAC